rnacentral:rRNA from 1 species
UACGGGGGGGCCAAGCGUUGUUCGGAAUUACUGGGCGUAAAGGGCUCGUAGGCGGCCAACUAAGUCAGACGUGAAAUCCCUCGGCUUAACCGGGGAACUGCGUCUGAUACUGGAUGGCUUGAGAUUGGGAGAGGGAUGCGGAAUUCCAGGUGUAGCGGUGAAAUGCGUAGAUAUCUGGAGGAACACCGGUGGCGAAGGCGGCAUCCUGGACCAACACUGACGCUGAGGAGCGAAAGCCAGGGGAGCAAACGGG